rnacentral:rRNA from 1 species
UACGUAGGGUGCAAGCGUUAAUCGGAAUACUGGGCGUAAAGCGUGCGCAGGCGGUUAUGUAAGACAGUUGUGAAAUCCCCGGGCUCAACCUGGGAAUUGCAUCUGUGACUGCAUAGCUAGAGUACGGUAGAGGGGGAUGGAAUUCCGCGUGUAGCAGUGAAAUGCGUAGAUAUGCGGAGGAACACCGAUGGCGAAGGCAAUCCCCUGGACCUGUACUGACGCUCAUGCACGAAAGCGUGGGGAGCAAACAGG